rnacentral:tRNA from 1 species
AAGGGUAUAGCUCAAGAGAUAAAGUGCGUGCUUAGCAGGCAUGAGAUCCUGGGUUCAACCCCCAGUACCUCCU